CCUACGGGUGGCAGCAGUGGGGGAUAUUGCACAAUGGGGGGAACCCUGAUGCAGCGACGCCGCGUGGGUGAAGAAGCGCCUCGGCGCGUAAAGCCCUGUCAGUAGGGAAGAAAAUGACGGUACCUGAAGAAGAAGCUCCGGCUAACUACGUGCCAGCAGCCGCGGUAAGAUGUAGGGGGCCAGCGGUAUCCGGAUUUACUGGGUGGAAAGGGGGUGUAGCCGGGCUGACAAGUCAGAUGUGAAAUCCGGGGGUUCAACCCCCGAACUGCAUUUGAAACUGUGGGUCUUGAGUAUCGGAGAGGCAGGCGGAAUUCCUGGUGUAGCGGUGAAAUGCGUAGAUAUUAGGAGGAACUCCGGUGGCGAAGGCGGCCUGCUGGACGACAACUGACGGUGAGGCGCGAAAGCGUGGGGAGCAAACAGGAUUAGAUACCCUUGUAGUC
rnacentral:rRNA from 1 species